UACGUAGGGGGCAAGCGUUUGUCCGGAUUUAUUGGGCGUAAAGAGCGUGUAGGCGGUUUGGUAGGUCCGCUGUGAAAACUCGAGGCUCAACCUCGAGACGCCGGUGGAAACCAUCAGACUAGAGUCCGGAAGAGGAGAGUGGAAUUCCUGGUGUAGCGGUGAAAUGCGCAGAUAUCAGGAAGAACACCCGUGGCUAAGGCGGCUCUCUAGUACGGUACUGGACGCUGAAGACGCGAAAGCCGUGGGGAGCGAACAGG
rnacentral:rRNA from 1 species